AUGGGGGGGGCCCGGGGGGGGCCGUGCCCCACCCCGGUGCUGCCGUGGGGCGGCCGUGGGCGCCUGCCAGCCCGGUGCUGCCGGUGAGUCACGGCCGUGACUCAGCCCCACGACAAACAGCGUCGCGCAGCAACGCCGCCCGCCGCCCCACGGCCCCGGGGGGCACGGCCCCACGGCCCCACGGCCCCACGGCACUGCCCCAUGGCGCUGCCCCAUAGCCACGCUGCCCCAUAGCGCUGCCCCAUGGCGCUGCCCCAUAGCACUGCCCCAUAGCCACACUGCCCCAUAGCACUGCCCCAUGGCACUGCCCCAUAGCACUACCCCAUGGCCCCACGGCACUGCCCCAUAGCCACACCGCCCCAUAGCGCUGCCCCAUGGCACUGCCCCACGGCGCUGCCCCAUAGCCACACUGCCCCAUAGCGCUGCCCCAUGGCACUGCCCCAUAGCACUGCCCCAUAGCCACACUGCCCCAUAGCACUGCCCCAUGGCACUGCCCCAUAGCACUACCCCAUGGCCCCACGGCACUGCCCCAUAGCCACACUGCCCCAUGGCACUGCCCCAUAGCCACACUGCCCCAUAGCGCUGCCCCAUGGCGCUGCCCCAUAGUGCUGCCCCAUAGCGCUGCCCCAUAGCGCUGCCCCAUAGCCACACUGCCCCAUGGCACUGCCCCAUGGUGCUGCCCCACGGCGCUGCCCCAUGGCGCUGCCCCAUAGCACUGCCCCAUAGCCAAACCGCCCCAUAGCGCUGCCCCAUGGCGCUGCCCCACGGCGCUGCCCCAUAGCCACGCUGCCCCAUAGCGCUGCCCCAUGGUGCUGCCCCAUGGACACACUGCCCCAUAGUGCUGCCCCAUGGCGCUGCCCCACAGCGCUGCCCCACACGCCCCCCCCAGGUGGGGCAGGGCCGGGGCCGGGCGCUGGCCCCAGCGGAGCCGCGGGGAAGGAAGGAAGGAAGAAGCCGGGGAGGGAGCGCGGGGCCGGGAGGAACGGGAAAUCCCGUCCCAGUGCCCCCAGUGCCGGGCUCCCAGUGCUCCCAGUGCUCCCAGUCCCUCCAGAGCCAGGCUCCCAGUGGCCUCAGUGCCAUGGCUCCCAGUGUUCUACGCAACAGGUUCCCAGUGGCCCCAGUAUGGGGGCUCCCAGUGCUCCCAGUGGCCCUAGUGCCAGGCCUCCCAGUGGCCCCAGUGCCGUGGCACGCAGUGCUCCCAGUGCUGGGCUCCCAGUGCUCCCAGUACCUCCCAGGGCACCCCACUGUGGGCUGCAGGGGUCUGUGGGUGCCCAAAUACCAGGCGCUGCCCCACAGCGCUGCCCCAUGGCGCUGCCUGGAUGCAGCUUUGGCUGCCUGGACCAGGCCGGCCACCCCCAGAAAUGUGCCGUGCCGCGCCGCACUGCGCCAUGCCGUGCCGUGCUGCACUGUGCCGUGCCGUGCCGUGCCGCGCCGUGCCGUGCCGUGCCGUGCUGCACCGUGCCGUGCCACAUGUCACUGCCACGCCGUUACGGCACAGCAGCACAGCACCAGGGCACUGGGGCACUGCACCACGAUGUGCCCUGCAGUGCCCUGCAACGUGCCGCGCUGCAUGGGGCUGCACCCUGCGACGCCGCGCUGCACCGUGCCGUGCUGCACCCUGCUGCACCACGCUGUGCCAUGCAGUGCCGUGCUGCACCGUGCCGUGCUGCACCCUGCUGCACCAUGCCGCGCUGCACCCUGCUGCACCGUGCUGUGCCAUGCAGUGCCGUGCUGCACCCUGCAAUGCUGCACCGUGCAAUGCCAUGCACCGCUGGGCUGCGCCCUGCAAUGCUGCGCUGCACCCAGUGUGCUGCACCCUGCUGCACUGUGCAGUGCUGUACUGUGCCAUGCCAUGCCGUGCUGCGCCCUGCUGUACCCUGCAACGCCGCGCUGCACCCUGCAAGGCCGUGCAACGCCGCACUGCGCCCUGCAACGCUGCACUGCGUCCUGCCGCACCCUGCAAUGCCACGCUGCACCCUGCAAGGCCGUGCAACGCUGCACUGCGCCCUGCUGCACCCUGCCGAGCCGUGCCACGCCGUGCCCGUUGCAGCGCGGCAGCAGCGUGCGCGAGGCCGCGGCGGCGGCGCUGAGUCAGGCGGGAGGAAUGCGCCCGUCUGGCGCGUGGGCGUGCGCCAGCCCCGGCCCCGCCGCCGCUGCCAUUACCUAGAAAGGACAUUUCUGCGCCGCCGGGCCCCGCAGCGCCCCACGGCACGCGGUGCGGCGUGCGCGGCGCCGCCGCCGCCGUCGGGUGCCCGCGCGCACGUGCCCGCGGCUCC
ensembl:lncRNA